AAAAAAACACUCCCAUCAUCUAUUGUAACCAGAAGCAAAAAGAAGAAGAAAACCAUUAAACAACAGGAGAGUGAGUUGUUUGGUCACUACAAAUCUUCACUCCGUCUCGGGACACAACUCCAUUGCAUUCCAUUUACAAAAUGAAUUACGUGGGACCAAGUUGAUAUCUGCAGCAUGAAGAGUAAUCAUUUGUUGGCUUGAGAAGGCACUGCAUCUGGCAGAAGCUAUGUUCCUGUGAAAUGAUUGACCAAGGCUAAAAAAUAGAAGAUGGAAAAUGGAAGAUGUGUGAAAUCAAUCAGUCAGGGACAUGAGAUCUUGUAGGAAUUGUAAUUAGUUCAUGAAUAGCUGUCAUGAAGCCCUCUUCAUAAUUUGGAGAACAGUGCACAAAAGUAAAUGGAUACAGGAAGCCCUCUUUCUCAUGGCCAUAAGUAAUCUGACCUCUAAACUGAAUCAGUAGAAGAGCAAAGAAGGCCUAUCAGACUCAUCGUAACAGUCAACACGACACAUCCUGGGACAUAACAUGUGAGGAAGUCACCCUGGAACUCCAGGAACAGUAGAGAGGGGACAGCUCCAGGCCAUGAGAACUGGGAAGCCCAUAAUGAGGGCCAGCAGGGUUCCAAGCAAGAUUUGGCACGGCUGGGUCUGCCCCUGCCUCCCAGACUGGCAGGAAGAAGCACGUUCUCCUCUCUUUCUCCCCAAGAACUCGCCUUUGUGGGGAGUCAGGUAGGCAGUAGGUUCCUCUAAGGUAGAGUCUUCAAGGCUGGGACCCUCCUGACAAGGCCACUCUAAACCUAUACAGAGAGAAAGAGGGAGGUCUGGAGAAUGUACUGGAAGCAGACUGAGGGCUGUGCAGAUAGUCGCUAUCAAAAAAUUCAAGGAAGUUAGGCUUAAGGUACGUAUUAGAAAAACCAUAGGCUACCCCUUCAUAUUUCUAGCUUCUGGU